CCUACGGGUGGCUGCAGUGAGGAAUCUUGGUCAAUGGGCGCGAGCCUGAACCAGCAAAGUCGCGUGAGGGAAGACGGUCCUAGGGAUUGUAAACCUCUUUUGUCGGGGAGCAAAAGACGCCACGCGUGUCGUUCCGAGAGUACCCGAACAAAAAGCAUCGGCUAACUCCGUGCCAGCAGCCGCGGUAAUACGGAGGAUGCGAGCGUUAUCCGGAUUUAUUGGGUGUAAAGGGUGCGCAGGCGGAAGAUCAAGUCAGCGGUAAAAUUGAGAGGCUCAACCUCUUCGAGCCGUUGAAACUGGUUUUCUUGAGUGAGCGAGAAGUAUGCGGAAUGCGGGGUGUAGCGGUGAAAUGCAUAGAUAUCAUGCAGAACUCCGAUGGCGAAGGCAGCAUACCGGCGCUCAACUGACGCUCAUGCACGAAAGUGUGGGUAUCGAACAGGAUUAGAUACCCUUGUAGUC
rnacentral:rRNA from 1 species